UUCACAGGCCUCACCACAGAUUCUUCAAACAUUAUAGCCCCUCUUCAUAAGUGGUUAUGUACGGAUCCCAGGAUAUCCACUCUAGGGAUAAUAACCAUUUGACAGAACUCUCAGCACACCUCGUUUGUGUGUGUACUAGCAGAAAUGGGUUUAGAGCUCUUGCUCGAGGCAGACAGGUGAUUGAAGAAACUCUUGUUUCUGAAAGUAUCACUCAUUCCAAGCUUGAGCUAAUCCUCCCCCUAAUGGCAAAAUUAAAUCUUCAAUUGAACAUGUCAAUUCUCUCAUCAUGACUACUCAUGAUGUUCACGUUGUAACUGUGGUUUUAUAAGAAAGUAUACACACACACUUAAGACAUAUGAAGGUCGUGAGGCUCAACGUGGAGUCCAGCAUCGCCAUCAGCCGCGGAGGCAAUCCUCCGUGCCGCUCCCCGUCGACACCUUCAUCGCGCACCCCCUGGACCGCGGCGACCGUCAGAUCUGGCCGCUUCUUUUUCUUUUCCCCUCAAGUUCCAGCAAGGUGUGCGCCGCCUCGCGUGGGUUCACCGGCGCGGCGGCGCUUGGUCAGCAGCCGCGUGGUGCCUCCUCCUCCACCCACCGGACCAGAGCUGCAAUUGCUACACCAUCUCACGAAGCUCCGCUCACAGCCACCAACAAUAUUGAGCCGUUCUUUAUUCUUCACAAGGUCGCUGCUGCCGCCGUUUCCCAGCCAUCAUCUCCCAAUCCCAAAAUCUGCGAAGAGACCUCGCAACGAUGAUGACAACGACGGCUAGGGUGUGACAUUGCGUUGUACGAGCAGCUCCGCCCUGAGGCCUUUCACCGCACUUGGUCCAAGAUCCAAUCCACCAUCGAUGAGGUUAUGAGAGGCAUCAGCCUCAAUCUGUCCGACCAUAGCCGACGAAAACGGACAAAACGGUGAUUUUUCUGCACCGGCCCGAAAAGCGAAAGUGCACGAAACCGUGUACCGGAGGUCACGACGUUGGAAAACCGGUUGAGAAUCGAAAAAACGUGUGAGCCCAUGUAAAAGGCCAAAACGGGGAUUGUUCUGCACCGGUCCAGAACUGCACGAAACCAUGUGAGUGGAAAAUCGUCCGGGACCCAAACAACGUGUGCUAUAGCUCAGAAAAACGGCUAAAACAGUGAUUUUCUGCAUCGUCCCGAAACUGCGCGAAACUGUGUA